UACGAAGGGGCUAGCGUUGUUCGGAUUUACUGGGCGUAAAGCGCACGUAGGCGGUUUGUUAAGUCAGGGGUGAAAUCCCGGAGCUCAACUCUGGAACUGCCUUUGAUACUGGCAAGCUAGAGUCCGGAAGAGGUAAGUGGAACUCCUAGUGUAGAGGUGGAAUUCGUAGAUAUUAGGAAGAACACCAGUGGCGAAGGCGGCUUACUGGUCCGGAACUGACACUGGAGAGACGAAAGCCAGGGGAGCAAACGGGAUU
rnacentral:rRNA from 1 species